AAGUGCUUGGUCGAGAUUGUAAGAUACAUUUAACAAUGACCUCAAAUCAGGCAAGAAUACCCGCUGAACUUAAGCAUAUCAAUAAGCGGAGGAAAAGAAACUAACAAGGAUUCCCCUAGUAACGGCGAGUGAAGAGGGAAGAGCUCAAAUUUUAAAUCUGCCUUGUUUCAAGGUCGAGUUGUAAUUUGAAGAAGCGUUUUCUUGGGCUCGCGGCCGGUAGAAGUUCUUUGGAACAGGACAUCAUAGAGGGUGACAAUCCCGUCUGCGACCGGUCGUGUGUUCAUCUACGAUACGCUUUCAAAGAGUCGAGUUGUUUGGGAUUGCAGCUCCAAAUGGGUGGUAAACAUCACCUAAGGCUAAAUAUUGGCGAGAGACCGAUAGCGAACAAGUACCGUGAGGGAAAGAUGAAAAGAACUUUGAAAAGAGAGUUAAACAGUACGUGAAAUUGUUGAAAGGGAAACGAUUGAAGUCAGUCGUGCUGGCGCGAAAUCAACCCUCUCGUCGAGAGGACACAUGGCGUGGCGAGCCUCAAAACCGUCACGAAGCGUGAACUCUUGGCGAAAAGGAGCACUUUCGUGUCCGCUGGUUAACACCAAUUUCGAACGUCAUAAAAAGGCUGGAGGGAUGUGGCUCCUUCGGGAGUGUUAUAACCUUUAGUGGAAUGUGGUGGUCGGGAUUGAGGAUUGCAACGAAUACCUUUAGGGCUGUUCCACCUGGCCUCUCUUUGGUAUCCUGGUGACGACAGCUUGCUGACGUUGUUAGGAUUCGCCAUUGAACAGGCUAGAGUGUGAGCAAAUUCGUUAAGGAUGUUAACGUAAUGGCUUUAAACGACC
rnacentral:rRNA from 1 species